AGAGUUUGUACUCCUUCGGCGUCCAGAACGAACGCGUGCGGCGACUGCCUAACACACUGCAAGUCGAACGAGACCUUCGGGUCUAGUGGCGCACGGGUGCGUAACGCGUGGGAAUCUGCCCUUCGGUUCGGAAUAACUCAGGGAAACUUGAGCGUAAUACCGGAUGAUGUCUUCGGACCAAAGAUUUAUCGCCGAGGGAUGAGCCCGCGUAGGAUUAGGUAGUUGGUGGGGUAAUGGCCUACCAAGCCGACGAUCCUUAGCUGGUCUGAGAGGAUGAUCAGCCACACUGGGACUGAGACACGGCCCAGACUCCUACGGGAGGCAACAGUGGGGAAUAUUGGACAAUGGGCGAAAGCCUGAUCCAGCAAUGCCGCGUGAGUGAUGAAGGCCUUAGGGUUGUAAAGCUCUUUUACCUGGGAUGAUAAUGACAGUACCGGGAGAAUAAGCUCCGGCUAACUCCGUG
rnacentral:rRNA from 1 species